CUUCUGUCCUGCUUCAUUCCCAGGAGACCCUGAUCCUCUUGCAGAACUUUGCAAACACAGGCUCUCGCUCUAUUUGAAGAAUGAAUGGUUUUGUUUGUUUGCUUCGAGACAAUGUCUCACUACGGAACCCAGUCUGGCCUGCUGGCCUCUCUAUAUAGUUCAGGCUGACCACAAACGCACUACAAUCCUCUUGAGUGCUGGGAUCAUGGGUGUGCACCACUGUGUCCAGCUUCAGCCUACCUUUUCAAUGCUGAGCGUGCUCUGAGAUGUAAACACAACAAAUGGCAGAGCAAUGUGCCUGGCUGGACAGGGGACAUGGAGACAGACUGGGUACAGUAAAGUGACUGAAGAGGCCAUCCCAGCUUCCAGGAGGGCAUCCAAGGCCAGUCUGGCAGAGGAAACUCCAGGAGUCAGUACCUGAAGGGGCCAAGACAGCAGUCCUGGUUGUGGGUCGGAUUGGACUGAGGCUGCAGGAUAAACAAAAAGCCGAGUGGGCUCUCAUAGACACAGGCUGAAUCCUGUAGGAAUGCCAUAAGAAGAGGGAUGUGUUUUUAAAAAAUAAUUACUGUUUUAACUUGACUAUGGCUGUUUAGACCAUGGAUAAGCAAGCUCUGUGUGUUUAUAUCGUCAUGAGCUAGGCUUAGUUUUUAUCUUCUUAAGUGGU